rnacentral:rRNA from 1 species
UACGUAGGGGCCUAGCGUUGUCCGGAUUUAUUGGGCGUAAAGAGCUCGUAGGCGGUUCGGUAAGUCAGGUGUGAAAUCUCCACGCUCAACGUGGAGGCGCCACCUGAAACUGCCGUGACUCGAGUCCGGUAGGGGAGUGUGGAAUUUCCGGUGUAGCGGUGAAAUGCGUAGAUAUCGGAAGGAACACCAGUGGCGAAGGCGACUGUCUGGGCCAAUACUGACGCUGAGGUACGAAAGCGUGGGUAGCAAACAGG